rnacentral:rRNA from 1 species
UACGUAGGUGGCAAGCGUUAUCCGGAUUUAUUGGGCGUAAAGAGAACGCAGGCGGUCUUUUAAGUCUGAUGUGAAAGCCUUCGGCUUAACCGGAGUAGUGCAUUGGAGACUGGGAGACUUGAGUGCAGAAGAGGAGAGUGGAACUCCAUGUGUAGCGGUGAAAUGCGUAGAUAUAUGGAAGAACACCAGUGGCGAAAGCGGCUCUCUGGUCUGUAACUGACGCUGAGGUUCGAAAGCGUGGGUAGCGAACAGG